UAUAUAUAUAUAUAGAGAGAGAGAGAAUGUUACAAGGAAGUAAUCUAAAACUUCGUAAAUUUGUAGUACAUGUUUAAUGAGAGAAGUAUAAAAUAUCUGAUAAGCGUAGAUCCAAAAAUUAAUCCUAUUUAUUUGAUAUACCGUACUUUUUAUUUAACAUUUAAAUCGAACGUUUAAAUCGAACCCUCGAUAGAAUAGAUAGAAUAAACGUGUCCAAUAAAAUAAUCUCCUCCAUCAUCUGAUUUGAAUUCAACGAAUUUUUUUUUAUGAAUACACAUAGAGAGAAAUCUACCUAUUGUGGACACACGUACAAAUCAAUAAAUAAUGCAUGUCGUGCAAUAUCGGCUACAGAAGGAAUAAAUAGAGAAUUAUGUAUUAUCCACAGAUGGCAGUUAUACAGUGACUACGAAAGGAUUUGAUUUGAAAUAUAAAAGCUGAUAGGAAAACGGUUUAUUGGAAAAUAUGGACACGCGCAAAUAUUUUCUCGUGCCCGCAGUAUAUUAAAACAGAAAGUCAAAUGAAAUAUUUCUUAUCAAUGGCGAAGGAUAUUUUUCUCUUCUUCUUGACCCAGCAAUUGGAUUUCAAAUAUUAUAUAACGUUGAUUAAAAUUUCCUUUUCUCUCGAGCAACCAUGUAUAUUCCAAGCGUGAUGAAGGGAUUAGAUCAUCGUAUCGUAAAUUAUGCUUACUUCCAACCCCAAAGGCAGACUUUCUAUGUGCUUGUCUCUUUGCUUCGAGGGCCAGCGAACUCUUCACUCUAUAUGACAGAAACAGCCUAGAAUCCAGGGGGAAAUUUGAAAGUCAAACAAGGAAGGAACUGCAAGAUGGACAGAGCAAGGUCUUGUAGAAAUGUAUGAGAUUCGUUUCUCGCAAAUUACGAGAUACGGAAACGUUUAAAGUCAUCUACAGGCGGAAAUCUGUUCAAGACAGUCGCGAACUUUAUAAUAUAAUGGAAUCGUUUUACAUAUUUGCGGACAAACAACACAACACAGUUUUCGUCUAUAAAUACGAAAUAAAAAAUUUAAAUAAAAAUUAUAUUAAUCCUUUCGAUACGAGUUGUUUUUUAACAUCGAUGAUAAAGAAAAUAAUCACAGACUUCGCUGGAUGCAUAAGCAUUCAUAGACAGCAUCAAUGGAAUUUUUUCUGAUGAAUAUGUACUUCUCCUGUAGGAAACUAUGAGAUGACUCGUUUGUUUGUAAGAAAUGUUCAAGAGCAGUUAUGAAAUCAUUUACGGAUUUCACUACGUUUUACAUAUUCGAAACUUUCCAUCUUUGCAUUUCUUUUCUGUCUCCCCUUUCUCAUGAAUACUUGAAUACAUGAUUUUUUCAAAUGCAAAAAAAAAAAAAUGCUAAUUCGUAUAUUACAAAACUUCACAAAAAUAAUCGUAAGAAUCUGAUCUAUUUUUUCUCGUAUAUUUCCUUGUUUGGAAAAAGGAAUAAUUUAUGACUUGUAAUUUGUAAAAUUACGCUAAUAAUAUCAGUUUACUUGUACAAGAUGGCCACCAUACACAUAUUUGUCACAUUAGAAAAUAUAGACCUAACCAAACAGGAAUAUUACACAUUACAAGUUAACGUACAUAUAUAUGUAGUAUCUAUUUACAAGUAUCGCAGAUUACCUCUUGAAAAGUAAGAAAACAUAAAGACUAAAGUAAAGUUGUAAAUCUAAACUACAGUUCAAGUUAUACAAGGCAUGCAAAGCUUCUCUUGAAACGUUAGGUGCGUACUUCGAUAUACAAUAUAAAGAAACAUAGCCCGCGAGAAAAGCUAUAUAGUACAUACCAUACAGAUCCCUCGCCAUAACUUUGUCAAUAUGCGCAACGAAAUCGGUAAUUUUCGCGCCACCACUCAAACACCGUUUCUCUCGCUUUGGAUAAUUGAAUCAAAUCCAGAUCGUCCAUGUUUACAGCGAAGCAACACGUGAUACCGCCAAAGGUGCUUUCCACCCCCUCGCAUAACUGACAUCGGCCGUCCGUGGAUCUAACGGAAGGAUUUUGAACGUUGGAGAAUGCGUAACGCUGAUUGGCUAUUGAGCUCGGGGGUCGGUCGUAUAAAGGGACGCCGGGUCGCAACGAGCCUCACAGUACCGCUUCGACUGUGAACGCGAUAGGAAUUGGAUUGUCUAUUUUACAAAGCUCCUUUAUCUUUUGCAACAAUUACAUUCGAAUGUCUUUUCAAGCGCUAACGAUAUAAUCGACGUUUGGUAAUAUCCAUCGACAAACGGGACAAUUCGGGUGUACAAUCUACGCCUAUAACUGCGCAGUAGGGCAUAUUGUCUCGCAAAGGCCAAAGCUGUAAAUCUUCGUUACUUAUACCGGUUUCAUGAUGAGACGAAUGAGCGAUCGUAGCGGAGAAGAAUCAGGACCAGCUCCUCAGCUAGAUGGCCGAAGAAAUUCGGUCGUUACGAUGGAAAGAGUGUCAUCGACGUUGUUUGGCAGUAAUCGUCAGUUGGACGUUAUGGAUAACAUCGCAGACAUAAAAGCGAGGAAGGUAAGGAUCUUUCGUUUAUUUUAGUCGCUCUAUCUCCGCUAGUUUGCAGACUAAGAAAAACCGAGUUUAAAGUUGACGAACUUCUAUACGAUCGUGCGAAGUUAAGAUUUGAAAGAACCAAAUAUUCGUUGCUCUCCAGGUAUACAAUUUUCAUCGUAUUAUUUAUUAUUUUAUUCUUUGUAACUUAUAAUUAUUUACACAUCAUAUCGUUCUUUAUAACAAUGUACGCAUACGUGGAUUCAUCAAUUACUUUUUUUUUCUUCUUUUUUAGAUGGAGUUAGAACAAUUAUUAAUUAGGCGAAAAUUAACAGUUAAAAUUACGGACGAAUCGAGUCGCUAUGGUUUUCAUUUCUUGUUCGUCAGGAGCCUCGCUAAGGAAGCACGUCUUCGUCGGUGAAGCUUAUAGCAUGGUCGCGAAGAAGCUUAUUUUUCAAUUGGAAUCAUAAAUUAUUAAGCAAUAACAUAGAAAUUUGCUUCAUCCCGCGCUCAAUCGCCAGGGACGUGUCGUAAACUCGGUAUCUCCGCAGGGUAAUUUGGAAUUAUAUUACAGCGGUACAAGUUGCCGAACUUCCUCACCCGCAGAGAUAUCGUGAUCUUCUCGGAAAACUAACAUCUCGUGUUAGUUCAAGUAGCGUCCCAUCUUUGCCAGUAGAAGGCGCGCCAAGAGCACGCGAAAGGCUGGUCAUGACACCCGCGGCAUUCACACCUCGAACACAGAAAAAGAUACUUGUUAACGUUCAAGCGGUUCAGAUAUUGUUCAACUUUCGCGCGACACAAACGUUGUUCAAACUUGGAACGCUACAGGCAUUUUUCAACUCUGUUACGAGCAAACUUAUACAUAUUCAUUGAAGACAUACGAAA